rnacentral:snoRNA from 1 species
UGGCGAUGAUGAUAAAGCUAAGGCUUGUUUCUCAAAACAUUCGCAGUUGCCGCCUAAGAGCUUUGCCAGGCUUGAGAGCUAAUGCUGCUAAUUCCUUCUUGGAUGUCUGAGCCA